rnacentral:rRNA from 1 species
CAGUAGCCGCGGUAAUACAGAGGGUGCGAGCGUUAAUCGGAUUUACUGGGCGUAAAGCGUGCGUAGGCGGCUUUUUAAGUCGGAUGUGAAAUCCCUGAGCUUAACUUAGGAAUUGCAUUCGAUACUGGGAAGCUAGAGUAUGGGAGAGGAUGGUAGAAUUCCAGGUGUAGCGGUGAAAUGCGUAGAGAUCUGGAGGAAUACCGAUGGCGAAGGCAGCCAUCUGGCCUAAUACUGACGCUGAGGUACGAAAGCAUGGGGAGCAAACAGGAUUAGAUACCCCUGUAGUCCAUGUCUCUUAUAC